AUUGAACGCUGGCGGCAGGCCUAACACAUGCAAGUCGAACGAGUGGCGGACGGGUGAGUAAUGUCUUGGAAACUGCCUGAUGGAGGGGGAUAACUACUGGAAACGGUAGAUAAUACCGCAUACCAUCGGAUGUGCCCAGAUUGGCUUAGCUAGUAGUUGGGGUAAAGGCUCACCUAGGCGACGAUCCCUCGCUGAUCUGAGAGGAUGACGAGCCACAAUGGAACAGAGACACGGUCCAGACGCCUACGGGAGGCAGCAGUGGGGAAUAUGGCACGAUGGGCGCAAGCCUGAUGCAGCCAGGCCGCGUGUAUGAAGAAGGACUUCUGGUUGUAAAGGACUUUCAGCGGGGAGGCGUUACACGCAGAAGAAGCACCGGCUAACUCCGUGCCAUCAGCCGCGGUAAUAC
rnacentral:rRNA from 1 species